ensembl:lncRNA
CAUACAAAUAUAAACCAUGAAGCUAUCCAAACCCCAGAUAACCUAAUUAUAUACUACAUUACAGUGUCUAAGCUCACAUCUCCAUUCUCACCUCUACUCCUCUCCCUAUGCUACUCAGCUUCCUCUGGCCAGGGGAAAUCUCCAAGUGCAGCUAAAGCUUUUUUGCCCUAACACACAUAAUUUAAGGGAAUGGAGAAAAGACAGCAAAUCAAACAAUAGUAAUGUUCACACCGUUAUUAUACACUAGGCCCAAAUGCUUAAAAAUCCUUUUUACCUUCCGGGAGCUCACCUGGCUUUCUGAGCAGCACCUAGCUCAGAAUAUACCAAGUUUCUCCAAAAAGAGCUUUUCUUCUGCCUUCUGUAUCAGAAAUCUGGUAACCGAAGCCCUUGGCCAACUAUAUGCACUGGAAAGACCCUGAAUAUUCCCCAAGGUUCAAUCUUACUUUUUCAUAAAUAGCAAGGAGAAGUAAACCCUCCUCAAAUCUGGGAAUAUCAAGGUUCAGAUACUGGAUAUGACACAUCCAACCCCAUCUCCACUGUUCAACAGCAAUUAGCUUAAAAUAAACAGAAGGAAAGUGCUGAUGUUACUAGCAACGGCUGGCUUGCUUCUAGUGUUUUAGUCGUCUGGAUAAAGUGCAGAGGAAAGGGGAUUUAAAGGUAUCUGGGAUGAUGCAAAGGGUUAAAUGGGUGACGCAAUGAAAACCACAGCCACAGACUCCAUUUCUGCAGAAAACAGCUUUAGCUAACAUGUUUCUGCUGGGAUUUCUUACUGACUGGAUCUCAAUUUGGUUUUAAUUUGCUCAUAACAUGCUCAAAGGGCAUAACCAGCCUGGCAAGUGGGUUCCAUAAAAGCAAUGAGAGGGGCUAAACAUGAGACGAAGAACAGAAAUGGGACAGGUUAACAGAGUGGAAGCAAUGGGAACGAUUCCUGCCAGUGCUCGAGGUGUCGCUUUCUAUUCCCUGUUUCCGCACCUGGACGGCUUCAAGAAUACUCUUUGCAAAGUGCAAACGCAUCCCCUGAAAAGCACACGAAGCCCAGAGACCUUGGCUCACAAAGCCAAGACACCUUCCGGACCCCAGCCACGGAAACUUCCUCCAUCCUCGCUCUCAGCUGUGGUGGGAAGGUGUUCCUCCUCCUUUACCAUGCAAGCAGGGGAUGGAGCAUAUGCUGGUGGCCUGUCCCACCAUCAGAAGGUGCCACACAGCUUCUCCCAGCCAUCCAACCAAACCCAUUUGAACAGGGGAUUCUGCAGCCAACAGCCCACGAGGCACAGAUCCUUGGUCUGUUCUCCUGAGGCUGGAGCAUCACCAGCUGUAGUGUCUCAGAGAGAUGGUGCUGGGUCAUCUCCCAUCUUUCAAAGGGGUUAUGACUGGGUAUCCUCCCCGCAGACCCCCAACACAUUUGGGCAAGCCAUCACACAGCCUACGCUGCUUCGACAUAGUUACUGCCAAUGCUUACACCUCCACGGGAAAACUAUGUUUAGGCUAAAAGCAACUGUGUUACUGAUUGAUUAACAUAAGAGGUGAUUAGCUGGCUAGCCUGGGUGUAUUAAUUUCUCCUAUAAGACAGUGGAAUUCUGUCUCCUAAAAAUAUUCUGUGUUUUUUCAAGAUUUGCCUUCAGAAAAUCUUUUAUGAAAGGAGCGUAUAAUUCUUCUACUUGCAAUCUGCAUGACAGCCUGGCUGCCCCUGUUCCUCAAACAUCACUCUCUGCUUUACAAGAGGAACGUGGCCCAGGGAGAGAAUUACAUUAUGUACAGAAAAUAUUUUCAAUUAGGAAAAAACCACCUCCGAAACGGAACGUGCAUCGAGAACUUAACCAAUCUGCCUGCAAUGUAUUUGAAACAUUGGACUUGGGUUUUGGAUACAAAUGCCCUUCAUGCUCCCAGGGGAACAGCAGGCAGCUAUAGCACCUCAGGGACCACGAGCCGUGAUUCCUGAAUCCCCCCACAAGGAUGUAAAGCUCAGGAUCCCCCCCUGAAUCCUGUGCUCCCCCCACAGGGGUGUAAAGCUCAUGAGCACCAAGACACAGAGGGCUUCACGGCAUCCCCUCCAGCUAGCUGCAUGUUAUGUGGGUUGUCUUGUCGCUCAAGGACCACCCCUAAGUACCAAAGAUCAGGGAGCUGCCUGGGAAUGAUGGAGAAACUGCAAUUAGACACCUUUCCUCGAUUUAAAAACAAUUAAAAUUACCCCAGUAUGAAGAGAAUCAGCUGAAACCUUACUCCGCUGCAGCCAGCCCAUGGGGGUUGAAGAAAGAUUCCUCCCCUCCCCAACAGUCAAAGGUCUAUACAGAAACAAAGUACAACAUGAGAACACCAUCAAAGAGGAAACGCUGGUCAAUAUUCUCAUGCUUCCACUUUGAGGCUCACUUUUCUUCCACAACUUGAUGAUUUUACAUCAAAUCAUUAAUUUUCUAUUCCCCUCCCCCCUUAAGAUAACCAGAUGACUAUUUUUUUCCUUCACAUUUUGUCCACAUCCAGUUUAUUUAGCAAUUGCUACGCUCCUCCCAUUUGUAUGCUAAAUGAAAUCCAGAGCCCCAAGGAAGAGAACCACUGAAGGCUUGGGAAAUAUAUAUGAGCAGGUAGAUUUGCAAAUUACUAUGCUGUGUGCACCUCACUGCCUUCACAUAAUUGCUCCUUUGCCAUUGAAUUCAGUUGAGUUUUCAACUUUCCCUGUGAUAGUCCCUUCCCCCAUCUUCACACUGCCAUAUGCCACUUAAAAAGAAAUCACUUUCCUGCCUGCCAAACCCCGUACUUCCCCGUGCCAGAAUCCUACUUGGUUGAACACGGGAGAAGCUGGGAUCUUCCCGGGAACACCAAAAUCAUCGAAUCAAAUAUUAAAACUUGGAAUUCAAAUGAACUGUCCAGGCUACUUUCACAAGCCAUUUUUCUUCCAGCAAGCAGCCAAGUUGGGAGUCAAGCGCAGCC